rnacentral:rRNA from 1 species
ACUCAAAUGAAUUGACGGGGGCCCGCACAAGCGGUGGAGCAUGUGGUUCAAUUCGACGCAACGCGAAGAACCUUACCUGGGCUCGAAAUGGAGUGGAAUCCGGUGGAAACAUCGGCGUCCGCAAGGACCGCUCUAUAGGUGCUGCAUGGCUGUCGUCAGCUCGUGUCGUGAGAUGUUGGGUUAAGUCCCGCAACGAGCGCAACCCUUAUCGUUAGUUGCCAUCGGGUCAAGCCGGGCACUCUAGCGAAACCGCCUCGGAUAACGGGGAGGAAGGUGGGGAUGACGUCAAGUCCUCAUGGCCUUUAUGUCCAGGGCUACACACGUGCUACAAUGCACGGUACAAACCGUCGCAAACCCGCGAGGGGGAGCUAAUCGGAAAAAGCCGUGCUCAGUUCGGAUUGGAGUCUGCAAUUCGACUCCAUGAAGCUGGAAUCGCUAGUAAUCGCAGAUCAGAACGCUGCGGUGAAUACGUUCCCGGGCCUUGUACACACCGCCCGU